rnacentral:rRNA from 1 species
AUUGAACGCUGGCGGCAGGCUUAACACAUGCAAGUCGAGCGGAGAGAGGUAGCUUGCUACUGAUCUUAGCGGCGGACGGGUGAGUAAUGCUUAGGAAUCUGCCUGUUAGUGGGGGACAACAUUUCGAAAGGAAUGCUAAUACCGCAUACGUCCUACGGGAGAAAGCAGGGGAUCUUCGGACCUUGCGCUAAUAGAUGAGCCUAAGUCGGAUUAGCUAGUUGGUGGGGUAAAGGCCUACCAAGGCGACGAUCUGUAGCGGGUCUGAGAGGAUGAUCAGCCACACUGGGACUGAGACACGGCCCAGACUCCUACGGGAGGCAGCAGUGGGGAAUAUUGGACAAUGGGCGCAAGCCUGAUCCAGCCAUGCCGCGUGUGUGAAGAAGGCCUUAUGGUUGUAAAGCACUUUAAGCGAGGAGGAGGCUACUUUAGAUAAUACCUAGAGAUAGUGGACGUUACUCGCAGAAUAAGCACCGGCUAACUCUGUGCCAGCCGCCGCCGUAAAAC